rnacentral:rRNA from 1 species
CCUACGGGGGGCAGCAGUGAGGAAUAUUGGUCAAUGGCCGUAAGGCUGAACCAGCCAAGUCGCGUGAAGGAAGAAGGAUCUAUGGUUUGUAAACUUCUUUUAUAGGGGAAUAAAGGUAUCCACGUGUGGAUAUUUGCAUGUACCCUAUGAAUAAGCAUCGGCUAACUCCGUGCCAGCAGCCGCGGUAAUACGGAGGAUGCGAGCGUUAUCCGGAUUUAUUGGGUUUAAAGGGUGCGUAGGUUGUUUUUUAAGUCAGCGGUGAAAGUUUGUGGCUCAACCAUAAAAUUGCCGUUGAAACUGGAAGACUUGAGUGUGUUUGAGGUAGGCGGAAUGCGUGGUGUAGCGGUGAAAUGCAUAGAUAUCGCGCAGAACUCCGAUUGCGAAGGCAGCAUGCCGGCUCCACACUGACGCUGAGGCACGAAAGCGUGGGUAUCGAACAGGAUUAGAUACGCCUGUAGUC